rnacentral:rRNA from 1 species
UACGUAGGGUGCAAGCGUUGUCCGGAAUUAUUGGGCGUAAAGAGCUCGUAGGCGGUUCGUGCGUGUCUCUGUGAAAACUCGGGGCUUAACCCGCUCGGCCACGGUGGUCGGGCAGACUAGAGUGCGGUAGGGGAGACUGGAAUUCCUGGUGUAGCGGUGAAAUGCGCAGAUAUCAGGAGGAACACCGGUGGCGAAGGCGGGUCUCUGGGCCGUAACUGACGCUGAGGAGCGAAAGCGUGGGGAGCGAACAGG